CAUGCGUGUCGUAUGAUUGCGCUAUUCGUAAGAAUAGUGAGGAAAGUCCGAACACAGCCGUGCAGUUUUCUGUACGGAGAAUGGUAGUGGGUAAUACCCAUCCGGGGAAAUCCCGAGAGGUGCGAAAAGUGACGCUCUAUCGAAAGAAAUGAGCAUCCUCGCCUUUAAAAGCAGGAUGAAUUCUCGUGGAAACGCGAGAGGUGAAACGGCUAAACCCUUACUUCUGUGCAAGUUCGUGCUGUUACUCGGUACCAUUUUCUGUGUAAAUAUUUACGCGAUAUUUAUUCCGAAAAUGGUACCGAGUACAGAGUAACGCUAGAGGCAAAUAGUGAUAUUUGUCCCAGAUAAAUAAUCAUAGAUUACAAAAUUCGGCUUAUAGACACGCAAAAUAA
rnacentral:RNase_P_RNA from 1 species